CUUCCAAUCCUACAAGCAACAAGAGAGGACAGGAGAAGAAAAAAACUUGGCCCUUGAGUAGUUGAGUUCUUCCCUGCAAGUCUGCAACCCCUUUCAGUGAGGUAGUGCCAGUUGAUCAGCAGAAGGGAGACAAGAUGUAUAACGCUCCAAUGGCACAGGAGAUGUCCUACUAUGAACAUGUGCAGAGGCGCCAUGAAGAGAAGGGUUGCCUCUAUGCAUGCAUCUUCACCGCCCUGUGCUGCUUCUGCUGCUACGAGACCUGUGAGUGCUGCCUCGACUGCCUCUGCUGCUGCUGCAACUAGGUCGCCAAAUCAAAGCCAUAAGCAAGAUGAGGAUGGAGAUCGCCUCCAUCUCCUACCCUUGGAAAUUUUAUAGUUUAUUAGCUCGUUUUCAAUAUGCAAAAUUAAUAAGCAUGUAGUGGAUGGAAACUUUGUCAGAUUCGAGCAUUUGAUUCUGAAAAAGACUAUUGUAAUCAUGGCAUGAACUCUUAGAGCAUGGCUAAUAAUAUAGCCAACAAGCUGGUUAUAAGACUCUUUGUAAUCUUCUUAUAGCCCACUCAUAUAAUAGUUAGCUCUUUAUCUUUAAUGCAGGACCCACAUGUCUGUCUCA